rnacentral:lncRNA from 1 species
GACGACAGAGAUGGAAGUUUCUCCAAAGACCCUUCCUAAACACGUCCACUUCCCCCGCUGUCUCUGGAUUUUUCUGUGUGGCUGUGGCUGUCUUGGAUCUCCCUUCAUAGACGAGGCUGGACUUGAACUCACAGAGAUCCUCCUGCCUCGGGCCCCUGAGUGCUGGGAUUAAAGGCGUGUGCCACCACCUCUCAGGGCCCCAUUCUUACUUUUAUUAAAAAUAUUUAUUCAUUUA